GUUCGGGCUUCCUGAAGGUAAUACCCAGGUAUUAGGUUAUGGGGCUAGGGUAAGGUUUUAGGUUUUUGGCGUUAGGGUUAAAAUCACUGUCCAAAACCUUUGUAGGAACUCUUUUCCAAGCUUUUGAGUUAGUUAGACCAAAAAAAAUGAAAAAUGAAAUAAAAAAUAUUUGGAUUGCAAAAAUAUAUCAAGAUCCAAAGAUGGUGUGCGCACUUGUCUGUGGUCAUUUACCAUUAUAAUGAAUGGGAGGCGCAGUUUCUACCAAAACACUUGCUGCAGACAAACUUCAUGACCUAUAUGAAAAAAGUCUGGACCAUGAGUGAGGGCACAAACACAGCUAGUAUAUAUCCAAAUGGCAAGUUGCUCCUCCUUUCGGUUUUGCAGAGAGAGCGGUGUGUUUGAGCCAUUGAGCGAUGGGCAGGAAAAACUUGACUUUUUCUCCUGCCUUGGGGGGGCGCUCUUUUGGUGAGAAAAAAAUGACUUCACAAAUGUUUUGAUGGCUGAACAUUGCAUCAUCCUAGAAAACUUGGAUGAGUGGCCAAAACUUCUUUGUCUGCUGUAAAAUCAAAUUGGAUUAAUAUUUUUUCCAGAUUUUUUUUUGUACAUCUCUUAUUUUACUUCUGCCCUGUUCAAAACUAGCAAAUGUUUCAUUGAAGAUAUUUUUUUUAACCCUUUAAGAGCCUUUUAAAUUUUUCUGUAGUAUCAGAUUUAAUAGACAACUCCUUUGGCGCCACUCAGUGGCCAUAACUACUUUGUCUGCUGUUAAUAGACAACUCCCUUUGGCGCCACUCAGUGGCCAAAACAAUUUGUAAUCAUGUGGAUUUUUGGGUUAUCUUUGGCGCCCCCUAGAACGUAAACCGUGGGGUUCAGCGUCAUGAUUUGUACAACUUUGAAUGGUCAGUUAGACCAAAAAAAAAGAAAAAUGACAAAAAAAUAUUUGGGGUUUUCAGGCCUCCUGGAGGUAAUACCCGGGUAUUAGGUUAUGGGGCUAUGGUAAGGUUUAAGGUUUUUGGCGAUAGGGUUAAACUAACUGUCCAAAACCU